AUUUCUCUAGUAUUAAUUAGUACAGUUGACUUCCAAUUAACCAGUUCUGGCAACAACCCAGAGAGAAAUA
rnacentral:tRNA from 1 species